CAGUUGUUCAUUGUCAUGGAGGAAAUCAGGUGCAACCAACAAGACCAAGAAAUAAAGAGAUCAAAACUGUCUAAGGUAGUGUCUUAACUAGGCAUCCUUUUUCCUGGAGCAAACUCCAAUGCUAUGGAAAGGCUGCUUUUCACAUUCUGCUCAGAAUGAUUGCCACAACAUUCGCUGCACUCAAAUCAACUUCUGGUGGGUCUCUACUCGCAUCUACCCAUUCCAGUGUAGCCCCAACAGCAACUUCUGCUUCCAUAGUCAUUCUCCACAUCCUGGUACCAUUUGCUUCAUCCAGGAAGUAGCCCUGACCAAGAUGGGGCCCAUGUGAGGGGAAGGGAGAAGAAGGAGGCAGAUGAUCCCUAGUGGAAGCUAGGAGCCAAUGGAAGGGGCACCAGGGCUCUCAGGGAAGAUGAGAAAAUUAAGUCCCUGCUGGGAAUAUUUGGGGGGGGAAAAAACCCUAUUUUGUAAGGCUAAUUGAUCCCAGAUCUGGAACCUUUCCCAAGACAUCCAUCCUUUCAUAACAACCAGGUUGUUCCUCAAAGGCCCUUGGCAGACAGACCUUCAUAUGUCUUAGAAUGUUUGAAAAGGCGCAAAAUGACCCAAAUGACUAAUGUUCAAUCUCAGUAUCUUCUUCUACUUCCUCCAACCCAUAUCCAUACCAAACUGACUUUAUGGGCCAUCAACCUACUGAAAGGGAAGUCCUAUUGAUUGCUUAAAAUAUCUGUUCUAGGAGUUCCCACUCAGUGGCUCAGUGGUAACAAACCCAAUUAGUUAGUACCCAUGAGGACUUGGGUUCGAUCUCUGGCCUUGCUCUCUGGGUUAAGGAUCCAGCAUUGCCAUGAGCUGUGCUGUAGGUCACAGAUGUGACUAGGAGCCCGAGUUGCUAUGGCUGUGGCAUAGGCCAGCAGCUGCAGCUCUGAUUCGACCCCUAGCCUGGGAACUUCCACAUGCUGUGGGCACAGCCCCGAAAAGAAAAAAAAAAAAAAAAAAUUCUGUUCUAGGUGUUUACAAUAGCCAUAGUAAUGGCCCCCCCAAAGACAUCCAUAUUUUAAUCCCUGGAACCUUUAAAUACAUUACCUUAAAUGGCAAAAGGGCCUUUGCAGAUGUCAUUAAGAUUACUUGACUUUGAGUUAGAGGAAUUAUCCUGGAUUAUCUGGGUGGGCCCAAUCUAAUUACUUGAGUACUUUUUCACCCAUGGCAUGUGGAAGAUCCUGGGUCAGAGAUUGAACUUGCACCACAGCUGCUACCUGCACCACAGGGGCAGCAAUGCUGUAUCCUUAACCUGCUGUAUCACAUAGGGACUUUCUAAUCACACGAGUUCUUAAAAGUAGAGAAAACUUUCCUAGCUAUGAUCAGAGAACCAGAGAAAUAGCAGCAUAAGGACUCAAUCUCCUUCAAAAAUUGCUGUUUUUGAAGAUGGAGGAUGGAAGUCAUAAGGCAGGGAAUGUGGUCAGACUCUGGAACUUGGAAAAGGCAAGGACAUGGGUUCCCUCUUAGAAUUUCUAGAAAUCAUUGUAGCUUUGCCAACACCUUGAUUUUAGCCCUGUGAGACCCAUGUCAGACUUCUGACCUAAAGAACUGAAGAUAAUAAAUCUAUAUUGUUUAAGCCUCUAAGGUAAUUUUGUGGUCAUUUGUUAUGGCAGCAAUGAAAAACUUAUAGUCUUCAUCACCUCAAGCUUGGAUCAGCACAAUACAAAAUUUUCCAAUUUACCCAGCUUCUCAGGUCUCUGGGUCAUCUUAGAAACCCUUACUUACCAAACUCUUGUCAACCGUCACUCUACUCAUUCAACUUCUCUGUUCAAGAGAGCCUACAAAUGGAAAUAUUUUCAAACCAAGCUCCUUCAAACAUCAGAACUUCUGGAACUGCCAAAGUUCGAGACGGAAAGUUAGUGAAUUCUGCUGAAGAUGACCUGAAAAGAUUCCUUGAGAGACUGGUCAACAGAAAUUUCCAGGAGCUUCUUCACCAAACAUGGUUAACAAUAGGAAUACUCAGGUUGGUCUAUAAAGUCUUGCAGUAUUUACCAGUUACACUGCCCUACUGAUAAAAUCAGUCAUGAGCUAGAGUGAAAUCAGUGCUGCUACUCU
rnacentral:lncRNA from 1 species